UAUCUCUCUCUCUCAGUCUCUCUCUCUCUCUCUCUCUCUCUCUCUCUCUCUCUCUCUCUGUCUCUUGGCGGUUGGCGUUUUCGGGUGAGUGACCUGCGCUCCACGUUGUGAGCUGAUCAAUAGAGCUCAGAGCUUAUCUCCUACUUCCAUUUACUGUUUGACUAAAAGCCUCAGAGGCCACAUAAAGAGGAGCAGAAGGGAACGGAGCGACCUGAACUUAGCUCAUAUCAUCAAAACGAAGUGCUUCUGUUUCCUCCGAGCGCUCGGACAGUCGCUGCUGUAGACACGAUAGUAAAGUGUGCUGGGAUUUGUAAACGGUUCUCAGACUUACAGCCUUUUAUUUUGGGGGGUUUUCCUUACAAUAUGGCAGCGUUACUUCUGUUAGUUAAUGAUCACACGCAUGCUGUGGAGAACUGAGAGCUCCAUGACGGUCAUCUUUAGACUCGGAUCUACAGGCCUUAUGUGUGUUUGUGUUUCUUCUCUCUCUCUCUCCGCAGUUAUGGAGUGUGACAAUGGUGUUUGUGUCAUGUCCAAUCAAACGCCAUUAUCACACUAAAUAACUACGGCCUGACCAUCAGUCCGCACACACACACACAUGUGCACACACACCUCAUCAGCAGGACAGGAAUCGACUGUGGCUGUGAGAUUCAUCAGUGUAUCAUGUAUGUGAAUGUGUGUCAUCUAACCUUUACUCUCAGGAGCACAUCAGUAAGCCGUGUUGACAUCAGUGUUAUCUCUCUAAUAGACAGAUAAAAAUAGUUCACUGUGUGUAUACAGCAUGUGACCAUAAUGUAAUACCUGUCCAAUUAUAGCUCAGAUGCAUACACAAUGCUAUAAUAGUGUACGUGGAACAUUUCGAUGUAUCAUAUAACUGAGCCUAGGGAUUAAAUAUAGCGACAGAGUUCUGGACUCUGAUUGGUUGUCAGCUGUUGAUUCAUUCUCUCUAGUGCAGGUUUAUAUUAAUGCACUCAUUCUGAUAUGUUUCUAUAGUAACAACUUUCACUCGUAGUGUGGAAAUGUACAAUAUCUAAGACUUUUUAAUCCAGAAGAUAGAAGUGUGAUAUUUCUGAAAUCUGUAGAGUUGUAAAUGUGGCCAAGUUUUAAUCCUAGUGCAGAUUUGAAGUCCUGAAAUUCUUCCGGUCGAUUUCUGCCAUAAUUACUGUGUUAUUAACAAUGAAUCAUUUGUAAAAUUUGCUACUAAUUAUCUAUAUAAGGUCUGAAUAAAUAUUGCACGCUUACACGUUUUUACAUAAAUAUGUUUUUCAUGUGACAGUUAUAAAAUAUGACAAACAUUGUGAACUUCUGGCCUUCUUCAUGCCGCGACUCGGCGUAUCUGUGAACCUGUAACUCGAGCUACAAAAACAGAGAGGGAACUCGAUUCGAGUCCCCGACGUUCCUGUGCUCAGGCUCAGCUUCGGAUAAAAAAAUACUUCUUGGACAAUCAGGUCACAAAAUAUCUGUAUUUGUGUUUGUUUGUUUUUUUUGUUUUUUGUUUUUUUAUCUAUAAAAAUGUUUACACUUAAAAAUCGUAAUCGUGUUAAAAAUGUUCCUGAAAUGUCACGAGAUCAUCUUUUGCGCCCCCUUUAGGUGACACGAGAAAGUGCAAGAAGAUAUUUAAUGUUUGUUUGAUAGCUAAAACAUUUAUGGUGACGUUGUUCUUCCUUUGUAAUAAAGACCGAAUAAAACAUUUACAAACAAGAAA